rnacentral:rRNA from 1 species
CUACGUGCCAGCAGCCGCGGUAAUACGGAGGAUACGAGCGUUAUCCGGAAUUAUUGGGUUUAAAGGGUGCGUAGGUGGCGUAUUAAGUCAGUGGUGAAAAGCUGCAGCUCAACUGUAGUCUUGCCGUUGAAACUGAUAUGCUAGAGAGGAGACGAGGUAUGCGGAAUGUGUGGUGUAGCGGUGAAAUGCAUAGAUAUCACACAGAACGCCGAUUGCGAAGGCAGCGUACCAGGCUCCGUCUGACACUGAAGCACGAAAGCGUGGGGAUCAAACAGGAUUAGAUACCCUGGUAGUCCACGCAGUAAACGAUGAAUACUAGAUUUUUGCGAUAUACUGUAAGAGUCUAAGCGAAAGCGAUAAGUAUUCCACCUGGGGAGUACGCCGGCAACGGUGAAACUCAAAGGAAUUGACGGGGGCCCGCACAAGCGGAGGAACAUGUGGUUUAAUUCGAUGAUACGCGAGGAACCUUACCCGGGAUUGAA